rnacentral:rRNA from 1 species
AUAGGGUCAAGUGAAUAAGUGCAUCAGGCGGAUGCCUUGGCGAUGAUAGGCGACGAAGGACGUGUAAGCCUGCGAAAAGCGCGGGGGAGCUGGCAAUAAAGCUAUGAUUCCGCGAUGUCCGAAUGGGGAAACCCACUGCAUUCUGUGCAGUAUCCUAAGUUGAAUACAUAGGCUUAGAGAAGCGAACCCGGAGAACUGAACCAUCUAAGUACCCGGAGGAAAAGAAAUCAACCGAGAUUCCGCAAGUAGUGGCGAGCGAACGCGGAGGAGCCUGUACGUAAUAACUGUCGAGAUAGAAGAACAAGCUGGGAAGCUUGACCAUAGCGGGUGACAGUCCCGUAUUCGAAAUCUCAACAGCGGUACUAAGCGUACGAAAAGUAGGGCGGGACACGUGAAAUCCUGUCUGAAUAUGGGGGGACCAUCCUCCAAGGCUAAUACUCAUCAUCGACCGAUAGUGAACCAGUACCGUGAGGGAAAGGCGAAAAGAACCCCGGGAGGGGAGUGAAACAGAACCUGAAACCUGAUGCAUACAAACAGUGGGAGCGCCCUAGUGGUGUGACUGCGUACCUUUUGUAUAAUGGGUCAACGACUUACAUUCAGUAGCGAGCUUAACCGGAUAGGGGAGGCGUAGGGAAACCGAGUCUUAAUAGGGCGAUGAGUUGCUGGGUGCAGACCCGAAACCGAGUGAUCUAUCCAUGGCCAGGUUGAAGGUGCCGUAACAGGUACUGGAGGACCGAACCCACGCAUGUUGCAAAAUGCGGGGAUGAGCUGUGGGUAGGGGUGAAAGGCUAAACAAACUCGGAGAUAGCUGGUUCUCCCCGAAAACUAUUUAGGUAGUGCCUCGAGCAAGACACUGAUGGGGGUAAAGCACUGUUAUGGCUAGGUAGGGGUUAUUGCAACUUACCAACCCAUGGCAAACUCAGAAUACCAUCAAGUGGUUCCUCGGGAGACAGACAGCGGGUGCUAACGUCCGUUGUCAAGAGGGAAACAACCCAGACCGCCGGCUAAGGUCCCAAAUGAUAGAUUAAGUGGUAAACGAAGUGGGAAGGCACAGACAGCCAGGAUGUUGGCUUAGAAGCAGCCAUCAUUUAAAGAAAGCGUAAUAGCUCACUGGUCGAGUCGUCCUGCGCGGAAGAUGUAACGGGGCUCAAAUCUAUAACCGAAGCUGCGGAUGCCGGUUUACCGGCAUGGUAGGGGAGCGUUCUGUAGGCUGAUGAAGGUGCAUUGUAAAGUGUGCUGGAGGUAUCAGAAGUGCGAAUGUUGACAUGAGUAGCGAUAAAGCGGGUGAAAAGCCCGCUCGCCGAAAGCCCAAGGUUUCCUACGCAACGUUCAUCGGCGUAGGGUAAGUCGGCCCCUAAGGCGAGGCAGAAAUGCGUAGUCGAUGGGAAACAGGUUAAUAUUCCUGUACUUGAUUCAAAUGCGAUGUGGGGACGGAGAAGGUUAGGUUGGCAAGCUGUUGGAAUAGCUUGUUUAAGCCGGUAGGUGGAAGACUUAGGCAAAUCCGGGUUUUCUUAACACCGAGAAGUGAUGACGAGUGUCUACGGACACGAAGCAACCGAUACCACGCUUCCAGGAAAAGCCACUAAGCUUCAGUUUGAAUCGAACCGUACCGCAAACCGACACAGGUGGGCAGGAUGAGAAUUCUAAGGCGCUUGAGAGAACUCGGGAGAAGGAACUCGGCAAAUUGAUACCGUAACUUCGGGAGAAGGUAUGCCCUCUAAGGUUAAGGACUUGCUCCGUAAGCCCCGGAGGGUCGCAGAGAAUAGGUGGCUGCGACUGUUUAUUAAAAACACAGCACUCUGCCAACACGAAAGUGGACGUAUAGGGUGUGACGCCUGCCCGGUGCCGGAAGGUUAAUUGAAGAUGUGCAAGCAUCGGAUCGAAGCCCCGGUAAACGGCGGCCGUAACUAUAACGGUCCUAAGGUAGCGAAAUUCCUUGUCGGGUAAGUUCCGACCCGCACGAAUGGCGUAACGAUGGCCACACUGUCUCCUCCCGAGACUCAGCGAAGUUGAAGUGGUUGUGAAGAUGCAAUCUACCCGCUGCUAGACGGAAAGACCCCGUGAACCUUUACUGUAGCUUUGCAUUGGACUUUGAAGUCACUUGUGUAGGAUAGGUGGGAGGCUUGGAAGCAGAGACGCCAGUCUCUGUGGAGUCGUCCUUGAAAUACCACCCUGGUGUCUUUGAGGUUCUAACCCAGACCCGUCAUCCGGGUCGGGGACCGUGCAUGGUAGGCAGUUUGACUGGGGCGGUCUCCUCCCAAAGCGUAACGGAGGAGUUCGAAGGUUACCUAGGUCCGGUCGGAAAUCGGACUGAUAGUGCAAUGGCAAAAGGUAGCUUAACUGCGAGACCGACAAGUCGGGCAGGUGCGAAAGCAGGACAUAGUGAUCCGGUGGUUCUGUAUGGAAGGGCCAUCGCUCAACGGAUAAAAGGUACUCCGGGGAUAACAGGCUGAUUCCGCCCAAGAGUUCAUAUCGACGGCGGAGUUUGGCACCUCGAUGUCGGCUCAUCACAUCCUGGGGCUGUAGUCGGUCCCAAGGGUAUGGCUGUUCGCCAUUUAAAGUGGUACGUGAGCUGGGUUUAAAACGUCGUGAGACAGUUUGGUCCCUAUCUGCAGUGGGCGUUGGAAGUUUGACGGGGGCUGCUCCUAGUACGAGAGGACCGGAGUGGACGAACCUCUGGUGUACCGGUUGUAACGCCAGUUGCAUAGCCGGGUAGCUAAGUUCGGAAGAGAUAAGCGCUGAAAGCAUCUAAGCGCGAAACUCGCCUGAAGAUGAGACUUCCCUUGCGGUUUAACCGCACUAAAGGGUCGUUCGAGACCAGGACGUUGAUAGGUGGGGUGUGGAAGCGCGGUAACGCGUGAAGCUAACCCAUACUAAUUGCCCGUGAGGCUUGACUCUAU